rnacentral:rRNA from 1 species
CCUACGGGAGGCAGCAGUAAGGAAUAUUGGUCAAUGGAGGCAACUCUGAACCAGCCAUGCCGCGUGCAGGAAGAAGGCCCUAUGGGUCGUAAACUGCUUUUGUACCAGAGAAAACCCGAGUACGUGUACUCGGUUGAUAGUAUGGUAAGAAUAAGCAUCGGCUAACUUCGUGCCAGCAGCCGCGGUAAGACGAAGGAUGCAAGCGUUAUCCGGAUUCAUUGGGUUUAAAGGGUGCGUAGGCGGACUGAUAAGUCAGUGGUGAAAUCUCUCAGCUUAACUGAGAAACUGCCAUUGAUACUGUUAGUCUAGAGUAUAGAUGACGUUGGCGGAAUAUGACAUGUAGUGGUGAAAUACUUAGAUAUGUCAUAGAACACCGAUUGCGAAGGCAGCUAACGAAACUAUAACUGACGCUGAGGCACGAAAGUGCGGGGGAUCAAACAGGAUUAGAUACCCUGGUAGUCCGCACCGUAAACGAUGAUUACUCGUUGUUGGCAAUAUGACCGUCAGCGACCAAGCGAAAGCGAUAAGUAAUCCACCUGGGGGUACNCCGGCAACGGUGAAACUCAAAGGAAUUGACGGCNGAGAGNGCGAGGACGACGACGAGGGAGGAGG